CCUACGGGUGGCUGCAGUGGGGAAUAUUGCACAAUGGGCGCAAGCCUGAUGCAGCCAUGCCGCGUGUGUGAAGAAGGCCUUCGGGUUGUAAAGCACUUUCAGCGGGGAGGAAGGCGGUGAGGUUAAUAACCUCAUCGAUUGACGUUACCCGCAGAAGAAGCACCGGCUAACUCCGUGCCAGCAGCCGCGGUAAUAUGGAGGGUGCAAGCGUUAAUCGGAAUUACUGGGCGUAAAGCGCACGCAGGCGGUCUGUCAAGUCGGAUGUGAAAUCCCCGGGCUCAACCUGGGAACUGCAUUCGAAACUGGCAGGCUAGAGUCUUGUAGAGGGGGGUAGAAUUCCAGGUGUAGCGGUGAAAUGCGUAGAGAUCUGGAGGAAUACCGGUGGCGAAGGCGGCCCCCUGGACAAAGACUGACGCUCAGGUGCGAAAGCGUGGGGAGCAAACAGGAUUAGAUACCCGAGUAGUC
rnacentral:rRNA from 1 species